CUACAAAUGAAUUGACGGGACCGCACAAGCAGCGGAGCGUGUGGUUUAAUUCGUUGCUACACGAAGAACCUUACCUGGGUUUGACAUAUAGGUUGUAGGGAACUGAAAAGGGACCGACCCUUCGGGGAGCCUAUACAGGUGUUGCAUGGCUGUCGUCAGCUCGUGUCGUGAGAUGUUCGGUUAAGUCCGCUAACGAGCGCAACCCUCGUCGUAUGUUAUAUGUGUCAUACGAGACUGCCGGUAAAAAGCCGGAGGAAGGUGAGGAUGAUGUCAAGUCAGCAUGACCUUUAUAUCCAGGGCUACACACACGCUACAAUGGUCUGUACAAUGGGUAGCCAAGCCGCGAGGCGGAGCCAAUCCUGAAAGCAGGCCUCAGUUCAGAUUGCAGUCUGCAACUCGACUGCAUGAAGCCGGAGUUGCUAGUAACCGCAGGUCAGCAAUACUGCGGUGAAUACGUUCCCGGGUCUU
rnacentral:rRNA from 1 species